CACCAUGUGUGUCUAACUUUUAAAUUUACUUUUACUUUUUGUAGAGAUGAGGUCUCACUUUGUUGCCUAGGCUGAUCUCAAACUCCUGGGCUGAAGCAAUCCUCCUGCCUCACCUUCACAAAGUGCUGGGGUUACAGGCAUGAGCCACCACACCCACCUGAUGACAAGGAUUUUAAAGCAGCCACCAUAAAAAUGCUUCAGUGAGCAAUUAUAAACACUCUUGAAGCCAUUUAAAGAAAAAAAAAAAACAGUCUCAGCAAAUAGUCUCAGCAAAUAGCCUCAGCAAAUAAAGAGAAGAUAUAAAAAAUAAACCAAAUGGAAAUUUUAACUGAAAUAUACAAUGACAGUCAAAGUUAAAGUACUGCAUGGAUGGUUCAAGAGCAGAAUGGAAAGAGUAAACAACCAGUUAUUUUAACAUUCCCAAUAGUAGCCUACAACUUCCAUUUCCACUGUGGACCCAAGCUGUGAGGGGCUGAGUCUCUCCUAGGUGCAGGGCAGCACAGGAACUGGCUGCACAAGGCCAGAGAGGUUACGUGGCGGCUCUCUUUAAAUUAGACCACACAGAGCGCUUGGGGAUUCACUGCAGAGGGAAGCCACAGAGAUCUGGAAGCAGGCAGAUUAGUUCAGUAGAUGUUAUUCAUGGUACAAUGACAUACCUGCUAUGUCAAUCCCGUGAUCCCAGGCCUUAUGGCUGCCUUGCACUAUUCUAAUUAUAUAUCUAAUGCCUUGCAGUAUGUUUGAAAUUAGAAAACAGAUGAGCCAUUUCAUAAACAAAAUAAAAUAAUUUAUAUUGGUGUAUCUUUCAAUCAAAGGCCUAUCACCUAAAGUGGUGGCAUCUUUUCCUUUUUGAGUGACAUUAAAUAAUGCAACCUUUUAUGGCUGAUGGCAUUUUAGGAGAGAUGACAUAUGGUAACUAUAUCAGAAGGUUUAAAAGACUAACAGAAAACAAAGAUAUCACAUAAAAGAACAAGUCUAGGCUGGGCGUGGUGGCUCACGCCUGUAAUCCCAGCACUUUGGGAGGCCAAGGCGGGUGGAUCACGAGGUCAGGAGUUCAAGACCAGCCUGACCAACAUGGUGAAACCCCAUCUCUAUUAAAAAUACAAAAAUUAGCCGGGCAUGGUGGCACGUGCCUGCAGUCCCAGCUACUCAGGAGGCUGAGGCAGGAGAAUCACUUGAACCCAUGAGGCGGAGGUUGCAGUGAGCUGAGAUGGAGCCACUGCACUCCAAGCCUUGGUGACAGAGCGAGACU
rnacentral:lncRNA from 1 species